rnacentral:rRNA from 1 species
UACGUAGGGUCCGAGCGUUGUCCGGAAUUAUUGGGCGUAAAGGGCUCGUAGGCGGUUUGUCACGUCGGGAGUGAAAACUCAGGGCUCAACCCUGAGCGUGCUUCCGAUACGGGCAGACUAGAGGUAUGCAGGGGAGAACGGAAUUCCUGGUGUAGCGGUGGAAUGCGCAGAUAGUCAGGAGGAACACCGGUGGCGAAGGCGGUUCUCUGGGCAUUACCUGACGCUGAGGAGCGAAAGCAUGGGGAGCGAACAGG